AUUGAACGCUGGCGGCGUGCCUAAUACAUGCAAGUCGAACGCAGUGGGGACGGGUGAGUAACACGUGGGUAACCUCCCAUCAGAGGGGAUAACACUUGGCAACAGGUGCUAAACCGAUACUGAUUGAUGGACCCGCGGGGCAGUAGCUAGUUGGUGAGGUAAAGGCUCACCAAGGCCACGAUGCAUAGCCGACCUGGGAGGGGGAUCGGCCACACUGGGAAUGAGACACGGCCCAGACUACUACGGGAGGCAGCAGUAGGGAAUCUUCGGCAAUGGACGAAAGUCUGACCGAGCAACGCCGCGUGAGUGAAGAAGGUUUUCGGAUCGUAAAGCUCUGUUGUUAGAGAAGCGGUAUCUAACCAGAAAGCCACGGCUAACUACGUGCCAGCAGCCGCGGUAAUAC
rnacentral:rRNA from 1 species